UACGAAGGGGGCUAGCGUUGUUCGGAAUCACUGGGCGUAAAGGGCGCGUAGGCGGCUUUAUAAGUCGGGGGUGAAAGCCUGUGGCUCAACCACAGAAUUGCCUUCGAUACUGUAGAGCUUGAGACCGGAGGAGGUAAGUGGAACUGCGAGUGUAGAGGUGAAAUUCGUAGAUAUUCGCAAGAACACCAGUGGCGAAGGCGGCUUACUGGUCCGGUUCUGACGCUGAGGCGCGAAAGCGUGGGGAGCAAACAGG
rnacentral:rRNA from 1 species